rnacentral:lncRNA from 1 species
CAGAACACGAAACAGGAAGCCAGGGUGAAUUAGUAGUAUGCUUCCUGAUUUGCACAUGGCACGCACGCGCACGACGCUAGUUGCACACGCCGCUGAUAUGCGUUACUAUAAGAACGCUCAUAGUAGGAGAUGAUCGAUAAAUUCAAACAGGUACGCCGAAAGUGUCGGAACUAAGUUCAUAUUCAGCUUGCAAGUAAAUCGAAUCAAGUAACUACUUACAAACUACAAAAUGCCAGGACCAACUUGCGAAAAGGGCUCAGACAAAUCUCAACAAUGUCAAUGUGGCGAGAAAUGCAAAUGCGGCGAUUCCGCAGGCGCAGACACAUGCGCUUGCAAACCUGGCAAAGAGUGUAGUUGUAAUAAAAAAUAAAAAAAAAGUAUUAAAGGUUAUUUCUUGCUUCUAUUAUAUUUUACAAAUGUAUACGUAUAUUUAUGAAAUUAUGCCUCUUAUAAAAUUGUUACCUCUAUUAUGUUAAAUAUAAUAAAGAUUUAACAAAA